rnacentral:rRNA from 1 species
GGAGUUAGCCGGUGCUUCUUCUGUGAGUGAUGUCCUUCCUGCCGGCUAUUAACCCGCAGGCCUUCUUCCUCACUGAAAGUGCUUUACAACCCGAAGGCCUUCUUCACACACGCGGCAUGGCUGGAUCAGGGUUGCCCCCAUUGUCCAAUAUUCCCCACUGCUGCCUCCCGUAGGAGUCUGGGCCGUGUCUCAGUCCCAGUGUGGCUGAUCAUCCUCUCAGACCAGCUACGGAUCGUCGCCUUGGUGAGCCGUUACCUCACCAACCAGCUAAUCCGACAUAGGCUCAUCCGAUAGCGCGAGGCCCGAAGGUCCCCCGCUUUCCCCCGUAGGGCGUAUGCGGUAUUAGCCUGGGUUUCCCCAGGUUAUCCCCCACUACCGGGCAGAUUCCUAUGCAUUACUCACCCGUCCGCCGCUCGCCACCAGGGAGCAAGCUCCCCGUGCUGCCGCUCGACUUGCAUGUGUUAGGCCUGCCGCCAGCGUUCAAUCUGAGCCAUGAUCAAACUCUAA